UGGGGAAUCUUGCACAAUGGGGGCAACCCUGAUGCAGCGACGCCGCAUGAGCGAUGAAGCCCUUCGGGGCGUAAAGCUCUUUCGACCGGAACGAUAAUGACGGUACCGGGAGAAGAAGCUGCGGCUAACUACGUGCAAGCAGCCGCGGUAAUACGUAGGCAGCAAGCGUUGUUCGGAGUUACUGGGCGUAAAGAGUGCGUAGGCGGUUUUCGAAGUUCGGUGUGAAAUCUCCCGGCUUAACUGGGAGGGUGCGCCGAAGACUGGGAAGCUGGAGUGUGGGAAAGGCAGGCGGAAUUCCUGGUGUAGCGGUGAAAUGCGUAGAUAUCAGGAGGAACACCGGCGGUGUAGACGGCUUGCUAGACCAUAACUGACGCUGAGGCACGAAAGCGUGGGUAGCAAACA
rnacentral:rRNA from 1 species